UACGUAGGUGGCAAGCGUUGUUCGGAAUUAUUGGGCGUAAAGAGCUCGUAGGUGGUUUGUCGCGUUGUUCGUGAAAACCGGGGGCUUAACCCUCGGCGUGCGGGCGAUACGGGCAGACUUGAGUACUGCAGGGGAGACUGGAAUUCCUGGUGUAGCGGUGGAAUGCGCAGAUAUCAGGAGGAACACCGGUGGCGAAGGCGGGUCUCUGGGCAGUAACUGACGCUGAGGAGCGAAAGCGUGGGGAGCGAACAGG
rnacentral:rRNA from 1 species